rnacentral:snRNA from 1 species
AUCUUCCUUGUCUUGGGGAGCAGAAAUGUUCAAUGAACGUAUAGUGAGGACAUUGCUGCUGACACCAAAGAUAUAAAUCUAAGCCCCCGUUCGUUGGUUAUUGAAGCCAAAUGAUCGGAAUUUUUGGAAAAGGCUCCCUUACUUUAUAGGGGGCCGUCUAUUAAAUG